rnacentral:rRNA from 1 species
GAUGAACGCUGGCGGCGUGCCUAAUACAUGCAAGUCGAGCGAACAGAUGAGGAGCUUGCUCCUCUGACGUUAGCGGCGGACGGGUGAGUAACACGUGGAUAACCUACCUAUAAGACUGGGAUAACUUCGGGAAACCGGAGCUAAUACCGGCUAAUAUCUUGAACCGCAUGGUUCAAUAGUGAAAGACGGUUUUGCUGUCACUUAUAGAUGGAUCCGCGCCGCAUUAUCUAGUUGGUAAGGUAACGGCUUACCAAGGCAACGAUGCGUAGCCGACCUGAGAGGGUGAUCGGCCACACUGGAACUGAGACACGGUCCAGACUCCUACGGGAGGCAGCAGUAGGGAAUCGUCCGCAAUGGGCGAAAGCAUGACGGAGCACAGCCGCGUGAGUGAUGAAGGUCUUCGGAUCGUAAAACUCUGUUAUUAGGGAAGAACAAAUGUGUAAGUAACGAUGCACGUCUUGACGGUACCUAAUCAGAAAGCCACGGCUAACUACGUG